UACGUAGGGGGCUAGCGUUGUCCGGAAUCAUUGGGCGUAAAGCGCGUGUAGGCGGCCCGAUAAGUCCGCUGUGAAAGUCCAGGGCUCAACCCUGGGAUGCCGGUGGAUACUGUCGGGCUCGAGUCCGGAAGAGGCGAGUGGAAUUCCUGGUGUAGCGGUGAAAUGCGCAGAUAUCAGGAGGAACACCAAUGGCGAAGGCAGCUCGCUGGGACGUGACUGACGCUGAGACGCGAAAGCGUGGGGAGCAAACGGG
rnacentral:rRNA from 1 species